AGAAGAAACCCCCUGUAAUUUUUACCCUUUUUAAUGCAGUCGUGCCACUCAACUUGGAUAAAAUUCCAUUGAAAUGAAGAGGAUAAAGAGUGAGGGUGUUGACGAAAUGGUGGACAGGUAAGAACCGUCUAGCCACUUAAUCAACAACACUAAUGACCUACUGUGGGCGUCGCCGUUCAAUGCUAUCCUGACCUGUUUUUUUUUAUCGAAUUCUUGGCCCCGGCUAUUGCUGCCAGCCCAUAGAUAAGUUGGUUUACUAUUCAUUUAUUUGCACGCAACGUACGAGUGAUUUCAAGAAAAAUGCGCAGUAACGCUAAAGCAAUUGAGCCAGACGCGUGAGCUGAAGAAAAUGUCACAACCAACACAGUGCGCCGUACCGGAGACGACCGGGCAGCUAGACCAUAAAACACCAAAGCGCCUCGAGCAUCAAAAUUGGACUCAAAUUUCUUAUUGACGUAAAGUACGAGGAUUACAGCAUAUCUGCGAUCUUUGCUUCAGAUCCGCAAUUCACUAGCACAGAGGGGAAUGUGAGCUUCAAAAAUCAGUGUUUCAUGCCCAAUGAACGCUCACAUUUCAUCAUUCCAAAUACAAUCGUUGCGAGCGUUUCGGCAUUUGGGAGUCAGUUUCGGAUUCAUUCAGAUUUCCUGAUUGAAGCGAGUCAUAACCUUUGACAUAAGCAACAACGUCCCAUUUUAUUUGCUGUUGCGACACUCCAUCGAGAUAAAAGAAAGUUCUCCCCUACCCACUCCCCACACGUCUAUGUCAUCAGGAUCGAAAAGGACAUUCAGCGUCAUACAGACGCGAGGGUUGUCGCCAUCGGGACUUGACAGCACUUCACUUCAGCGUGCAUUUUGCCCGUCUUUCAACGCCUCAUCAGUGAUGCUUUGUGUUUGCUGUGGAAGAUUUCAUCACCAACCACAACAUCCUCAUUACAGCUGUUGACAGUGAACUAGUGAACUGAAAUUUUCCAAAAAGGUAAGCAUUCUCUCGUCUUCUGAAACUGAGGCAGUUACUUAAGGCAAACAGGUGACACGUUUGGUAGUUUCCUAUUAGGUAAGUUAGGGAAAAGGGAAGGGAGAGAAAGGAAAUCCAAAAUGGCCGACCAUUUGCUAGUUUCUCCUCUUCAAACGUCAGCUAUUAGAAGGGGAGGAUUGAAAAAAGUUCAUUUAAUUCUGGUGCUUCUCUCUAGUUGUGUGUUUACGUUUUGAUCGCCGCCAGGCUGAUACUCUUCCGUUUGUUGCUGUUUUUCAUUUGUUUAAAUGCUUUAACGGGUUCAGAAGUCAAAUGAUGUGUAUUUAAAGAGGAGAACAAUUUCAGAACAGAGAGAGAAUGUUCUGGUUUCCGGUAACCAUUCUAAUUUUGUUGUGGUGAUUUAUUGGGCUGGAUUGCUCAACUAGAAUCCUUACUGGCUGAUUAAAUUCAUGGUUUGAGCCACAAAAUAGGAGAGCUUCCAUCCCAUAGAAUUCACUAUUGGGAUGCUAACCAGAUACGUUAGAACAUUUGCAUUAGGGCCAGUGGCGUUAUUUAUCAAAGACAUGGCCAGUUCCCUGGCGACAACCGCCUUUACAGUUGCAAUGUAAGAUGUCGUAACGUCCUAACCCGCAGUACGGAGUUCUAGCUGUGCCAUCACGACAACAGCAAUCGGUUUUCCUUGUACAUAGCAAGUAGCAACAAUCAGCAUCCAUCAACCAUCAGUCCUUCGUCCACUCCACACGUCAUCGCAAGAACAGCGAAAACAACAGAGAUGCCGCACGUAAGUGUUAUGUUUGACAUGUUUCAAUCUGCCGGGCAUACAACUAAUGGAAUAUCUAUAAAUUACAUUUUGGAUCAAGUUUUGAAGUUUCAAGUUUGUUUUUGUUUUUUUGGGUCGAAAAGGAAUAAAUUUGGCAUCGCUGUUGGCUUUUCUUACAGGCAAGGUAUAGGAGUCUCAACUCCAUCUCGUUCAGGGGCCUGAACGCUUUCAGGCAAAACAUGACGACAACUCCUGUUAGGGUUC